GACGAACGCUGGCGGCGUGCCUAACACAUGCAAGUCGAACGGAAAGGCCCUGCUUUUGUGGGGUGCUCGAGUGGCGAACGCGUGAGUAACACGUGUGUAACCUGCCCUUGACUUUGGGAUAACUUCAGGAAACUGGGGCUAAUACCGGACAGGAGCUCCUGUUGCAUGGUGGGGGUUGGAAAGUCUCGGCGGUAGGGGAUGGAUGCGCGGCUUACGAGCUAGUUGGUGGGGUAGUGGCUUACCCAGUCAUUGGCCGAUAGCCGGCCUGGGAGGGUGGACGGGGACAAUAGGCCUAAGGGAGGGAGCAGUCGCCUACAGGAGGCAACAGGCGCAAAUCUGACACAGUGAUACCGAGCGUGAUGAGGAGGCGCUGCGUGCGGAAUGACGGCCUUUGGGGUGUGAACCGCAUUCGCCUAUGACGAAGCGUGAGUGACGGUAAUGGAUGAAGAAGCACCGGCUAACUACGUG
rnacentral:rRNA from 1 species